GGGCAACAGGUGUUCACCUCAGAGCUGAGGUGUGGCAGAAGCUGAGUGCUGUGAGGGAAAGGCGGCAGGCGGACUUCAAGCAGCCUCCGGGGACGCGUGUUCCUGCAAGCAUGGAGCACUGCUGUGUGACCAUUUGCUCUGAGCGGCUGCAGGUCAGUAACAGUCAGAACUAUACUACCACUUCUUUAAUGCUAAGGUGAUAUUCUUUUUGGUGUUUGUGUGUAGUUCUACGUUUUAAUGACACAUCUUGUUUCAAGCAAAUGUCAUGAUCUGUGAUGCCACAGUGUGCUUAAGAUAUGCAAAUAUUGACUUUUUAAUUAAGAUCUCUAUUGAUGAUGAGGUGUUUGUGUGUUUGAUUAUUUAGUCUUCCUGUAAUAGUCUUAUUUAGGCAAAGCUAUGCAUCUUUAUUAGUUUGAUAUUGCUUGAUGAAUCGGUCCCUCCAACCUGGUAAUUAAGAUGGCAUUCUCUGAUCUUUGAACUCAUUGCAGUAUAUCAUCUUUUUACUGCUGUACAGUACAGGAAAGCAGAGUUUUGGUGAUGCUACUCAGUACAGUUGGAGGCAUUACUUCUGGAGCAGCCCUUGUAUAUGGCUAUUACAUUGUUAUAUCACAAUGCCUUUGGAAAAGCUAUUAGCUGAGCCUGGUGUUGUGUUGGAUACUGUGUGUGUGUGUAUAUAUAUAUAUACAUGUUAGUGUGUAUAUUUAUGUAAAUAGUAACUAAGCAUUAGCUACUUUGUUCUGUGUAAGAACGUGAUAGCAGGGACUGUCUUCUCAUUGUGGACACUUGAUAUAUAGCAGUAAUUGCUGUCUCUUGUUAUUGCACAAGCCAUCCACAGUCAACGUACAUAGGAAAUACAGUAGCUGUUUUAUACGUAAGGAGCUCAAAAUGCCAAAUGCAGUGAAAAGAAUAUAACUUUUUUUUUACACUGCAGUGAAUUACUGUUAGCACAGGGCCAGUCUUUGCACUGAUGGAGAUUAUGUAAACGUUCAGAGAUUCAUUAUCACUUUGUUAAGCAUUUCCAUCCACAUAUGAAUCUUGUUACAAAGGGGACAAGAAAUGAAUACAGCUGUUUUGCAAUGAGCCCACCUGGCACUUUUGCUGUGACAUUGUGCCAGCCAUACUCUCAAUAUACUUUACAGGUGUUUCAUACUUUCCUCUCUUCAUGCUUGAGGAGAGGGAAAUCUCACUGUCAGACUUACCAUCUGCUCUUGGUGUUAUCUUGACUGGUUUUAUGGCUCAGGAGGGAGCAUUGCUCCUUCAAUGAGUUAUGAAUCUCUAAUGCAGUUCAUUGUAUUGUUGUGAGGUUUUAUGGAAUCUGCCUGGUGGCCGUUCUGUUCUUGUCUUGGAGAUUCGGUUAUCUUUCUAAGGACGCAUGACUGUAUGUGUGCCGAGACUUCAGUAAAUAAACCACAGAGCCUCAUCACUGGGAUAGUCUUUACAAACGUUUUGUGAUCUCUCAUGAUCCAUAAACUUGCAUACUGUAAAAUAAAGCUUUCCUAUGAGUGAUCUCAGUGCAGGUUUCCUGUUGUUACACUUUGAAAGUGAGUUUUCAUUUCAUAUGCAUGUGAAUGUCUACCUGCACAGAUGAGUGGGUGAAUAGCAAAGCCAUAGGAAGAAUUAGGGAGCACUUAUCAUGAACUCUCAAUUGAUUUCCUCCCAAUUGACAUUAAUGUGUUUCAGGAGAUACCUCUGAGACUUUUAAAACUACAUAUUAAUGUAAAGGUUUCUUAGGGGUGUGAGGCACAGUGUAACGUUUACACUCAAGUGGAUGGCUGAGAACAAGAGAAAAAAAAAUGGUGGCAGAGAGGGUUAUAUCUUGAUUUCUCCAUAGAGAUAUUUUCAGAUGUUGAGACUGUGCCUGAGUGUUUGUGCGGUAAGAAGAGCAAUAAGCAGCGUGAGCUUUUCUGGGAUCAAAACAAGAUUUAGUUGGAAACAUUUGGCAUUAGAACACAGACGCGGAGCAACAACAAAACCCGGGGAGCUCUGUAAGCGCCAGCUACGGCGAUCGCCUUGGAGAGCCUUUAAUAAACGGCUUAAUUAUAUCGCCCUCUGCCGGAACGACGGGAGUGUGCAGACUGAUGCUUAACGCGGCGGAAGAGCUGUGCCAGGAGACCCUGAGGUGGAUGCAGGUCGGUUGUUUCACAGUGCUCAGGAUUCCGGAAUCGAACGCUUCUGGAUUUGGAACCCAAAGAGGGAUUUGGGUUUUCUUCCGACUUGCUGAAGGGGCAUUCAUUUCCUUGGAGAAAAAUCUGUGCAUGCAGGAGGGAGAUCCAAAGCUGAAGUUGCCCAAAAAGGGAUAUUUGUCCUCGAACCUACAGGAAAAGGAAAACAGAAUGGUUUCUGAGUUACACGGGCAGAUGGGCUCAGAGCUGAUGAGAGAAUGGCUGUGUGAAGUUGUGAGGACAAGGUCUCUUUGGGUCCUGUGCCACAGAUCAGUAUUUAUCAUUAUCAUUAUGUUUGCAUUCAAAAAGAAUACAGUUUUUCCUCACUGAAAUGUUUUUCUUAUUAUUAUUUGUUAUCAUCCAGCAUUUGGCUUUCCAUCUAACAUGGAAAGGCUGACCCAAUGCACUGGUUAAAGAAAGUUUUGCAUGAAGCUCUGAUUUCAUUGCUUUAUAGUUGAAUUCUAUAUUCAAUUUUACAUGCGGGGAGAAUCCCUUAAAAGAAAUCCAUCUUUCCAUACAAAGAAUGGGAGGAUGUGUGCAUUGCUCAUGGCAGCAAGCUGAAGAUCUGACUCGUUGUGUGUAAAAGAUGAAAGAUAGGUCAGGACUCCCGGCCCUGUGAGGUGCACUGCUGUAGUUUCUGUCCACCCACCUAAUUCAGUUUCUGUGUUCUUGUUUGGCUUCAGCGAGGCCAUCCCUGCUUUUAAAAGUGGGAGGAAAGAAUAUUUAAAGAUGAUUUCUAAGAACCGAGCUGAUCAAGUUUUUUAUUGGUUGGAUUUCUUACAAAUGAGCCACCAGAACAUCUCCAAGCAAACAAACACGUUUAGGUAUUCUUUCUUCAAAGACUACUUGGCAGUCCUAUACUGCUGUCCAUGGUUUGUUACGUCCUUGCUGGAACCAAGAGUUGUGGUGACUUUGAAUGGAUGAAGUGAAACUUCCAGAGGAGGAACCUCAGCGCUGGGUGUGUGGCUGACCCAAAUAACACAUGGGUGACAUUUUGGAGGGACCGUGAGUUCUGCAUGGAUGGAAAUGCUUGCUUCAUCUCAGCGUUUUCCCAAGUAGCGAUGAAACCAUUUACUGCUCAUCUAAAGAGAUUCUGAGAACAAGAGGAGAGAAUAAAAGGAAGCUUAAAGCAGUAGUAGAACUGCUUCCUCUAAUUCACUUCUAAAUUGGGUUUUUGGUUAUAAAAUGAUCUUUCAUUGAAAAGAAACACUGGUUAGAGCCUCUUCAUCCAUUCCACCCCUACAGGAAAAACCUCGGGUUCCCUUCCACCCCAGGCCAUUCGUUGCUUCUGUGCUGCUCUCCCCCUCAGCGGAGCUCCGCGAUCACGUCGUCACGCCUCAGCUUCGCCGCCCUCCCACUCCGCCGAAGUCAUCGCGUCGGGCGAGCGCCGCAUAAAGGCGGACGGAUGGCCCCCGCUCCGCUCGCCCAGCCCUUCUUCCCCUUGAAGGAAAGCGACGGGUGCGGAACGGCGGUAACCGCAGCCUCCCCUCCUCGCCCCCACCGCCACCCGACGCCGAAACGGUCGGCACCGGCCCUUCCCUCAGCGAGCGGCCGAGCGCGGCACCCGGCGCCGGUGACGUGGGCACGGGGCGGCCGUCGGGGCCGGUGAUGGGGGCCGGUGCUGUGCGGGCCGGGGAGCUGCGGGCGUUGGAGCUGCGCAGGAGCUAUCUCCCAAGCUGUGCGGUGCAGGAGGAGGGAUGGAUUCACAUACCGGUGGGGAGUUACCUGCAGAAGGUGGUCACUGCGAGACACACGGCUGAUCUCCAGCCUGCAGGUCAGCUUCAGCCCCGCUGCUGCCAACCCCUUGCCUGGCAGCCCAUGCAGGAUGAGGCCCUUGUAGUCAUACAGUGCUGCAACGUACCGCUUCAUGUACUGCAUUCCUCAUUCUCACAUGAACACGCUGUGUGUGCAUCAACAGUAUCCUGCAUGUCUUCUGACUUCUGGUCGUACUUCAUCUGUUUGUCAGUCAGGCUGUUAGCUGAAUCUGAUGAUGAACAAGAAAUGGAAAGCAAGCAGCGUGCUUUAGAAGCAGUUUUGCAAGAAGGGGAGGACACCACACCCGUGGACAGGAAUCCUGCUCACACCUGCCCUUCUACAGCCUAAAUCUGCUCCGGGAAACAGGAUUAUGCCCAAAGGCAGUGAUAAGUGCAAACAUACAAGAUGAGGAUCACUGUGUCAUGGUGUGGAACGUGAUCCUGAAUCAUCACACGCUGCAAUACAGCUGAGUCACACGUUGUCUGUGCUCUUACCCUCUCCUAACCCUGUUAAGUAUCAUGAAGGGGAGAUCGGUUUAGAGUUGAAAUGCCACUGCCAUGAAAAGCAGUCCAAUUGCAACAGAAGGACAUCUUUCUUUCACCCAAGAAAGUUCUACAUAUUCAGUCAGUAGAGCAGUAAGCUCAUGCCUUCCUGUGGAUAUGUUAGACCAUUGCCGUGUUUCAAGUGUAAUAAUGGAGUUAAAGCACAACCUACUUGGGCCUUUGUGCAGCUCCUUUUCAGGAGGAUUUCUGUGGACUUACCAGCUGGGAGGCAGUGGAAGCCAACAGUUACUGGAGUUGUCUUGGUAGCAGAGCAUCCCUUUGCACAGCGCAGCACAGGCUCUGUAGAGUAGCACUUGGAAUCAACACCCGCCAGCUGAACCGUCUUCUCAAGCUUCACGAAUGAACGAUGCAGUUUACAAGCUGGAACAGAAUCACUGAUGGUCGUUUAUGUUCUUACAUGCAAAAUCUUCAAAUCUCCCCAGACUGACCCAUCUGCCAACGAUGGCUCACGUUCGCAAGCAAAUUGCCUUUAUAAAGACUGAAUGUUGAUCAUAAGCAAAGCAGCACUGCAUCACUGACUGAUAAGCUUUUCAAAUCAGCCCAUCAGAUAUGGAGUUACUGAAAGAUAAUUUCAACUGUAGCUGGCUUAAUUUCUAGAUUGACAUGGAGAAACAGUCUGGAACACAUUCUAAUGAACGUUUUGCAAAGUGAACUGGCUCAUUGAAUAGCCCCCAAACCACAUGCAAAGGCUGUGAGUAUUCAACAGUGGAAAGAAGAGAGGGGUGUUUCCAAACAAAAGCUAAAGAAUUACACCAUUAGCACCAUUGUUCAGACUCAAAACUGCUGCAGAGAGAGCAAGGAUCACUGCUGCCAGCUGGUAAUACUUGUCUCGUUUUGGAUUCCCAGGACAAGUUACAAGUGUGUGAGGGGCUAAAUGAGCCACAUAUAAGCUUUAUUCUCAGAAUGUCAGUCAUUUUCACCAUAAGUUGGAGGGGAACGCAUAGUGCGGUAACUAGCAAUGGUGUGAAUUUUGUUGUGUGCACGCCUGUGUACUGCACAUAUAUCUAAAGCAAGUCUGAUGCCAGGUAUUCAUGACAAAGACACAUAGAAGAAUGACAGUUAGUAUGCAGCUGGACACAUGAAAGUCAUCUCCAGGUAACGAAUACACUGCUGAGUCAGACCAUGUGUGCUCACAGGCCCAUUUGCCAACACACAGUUGCUGCAAGAAUAGAUUAUUGCUGAAGGAUUCUUGGAUAUCCUAUUAAGAAACAGAGAGAAGGACUCUGCAGCACUGGCUGCAUUAUCUUCUUCUAUGUGGCCUCCCUGGACAGAUUGAGCUUUACUACUGCACAGUAUUGCACUCACACAUACAGAUUUAAGGAGAUCCUACAGAAAUAUCUCAUCUAGAUUUAUGAAGAGGAAACUGUACCGUGAUUGUUUUUCCAUCGAAGUACAAUUUAUCGAUACCAUGGCCUGGGGCAGCAAGUGCAAACCCUUGGUUUUCAUUGUGAAUCCACAGAGAAGCACCUAGAAUACAGAAAAAUAGAGAAAUAAUGGUAAUAAUUUAAAAAAGCAAAAACACCUCAAAUGGACCCAAACUGUCUCCUUUAAUAGAGAGAAAAGUAGUGAUCAUGUUUUAAAAAAAGCUCUUUUGCCUCUUCUGCUUUGAAUUCUUCACUAGUUCUCAAGAAGCACAGGCUGUAAAAAAAUACUGAAGAGUGUACACAUAGAUAAUGAGUGUUUGUAAAAAGUUGGAAAACAAUUUUAAUUAUCACAAGUGAACUUAUUUCUCUUGGGGUUAUUAGCAUAUCAUAUUUAAUCUUGGAAAGGCUUACAGAGCUGCUUAGAAUACUUGUGCAGUUGUGCAGCUAUACAAAACUCUGACUACGCUGCACUGGAGUAAGAAAAUACAAAAACAACACGCUUGUCGAUGGGGACAUUUUUAGCACAAUUAUCGCUCACUAAGUACAUAAUAAUUAGGGCAGAGCGCAGCACUGGCAGAUGCUAACCCGAUUUCAGCAAGAUUUAUCCUGAAUCGUGUACCACAGAUACAUAGUCGGGGAGCAUCUGCAUUGUGCGUUGCCCCCAGCUGUGUAGCACAGAAUGAAACAAUGUCCUCCUGUGUCCUGUCACAGAAAAAAUACCCCUGCUUGGAAAUAAGAAAGCAGCCUGGUUUUCCUGCAUAUGCGCAGUUCUCUGUAUUUAUUCCUGUCAGACUUCAGAAUGCUAACCAGAUGUAUACCUACAAAGCACAAUGAGAACAUCUUGGAUCUCUGAGGGUGGUGAAGGUUUCAUCAAGCAAGGUUCUCUACCAUAACUGAUACACUUCUCCAAUUUGGAAGUCCAGUGGGAGCCACAGCAAUAUAUGAAACAGUAGUUAGGCUUUACUUUCCUUGGCCACAUUGAGAGUUUCAUGCCCUAAUAAAUGUUUUUAAACGUUCACAUGCAAGUGAACAAAAUGCAAAUUCUUAAAUAACAACCUGACACCAAAGGGUAUAAAUACUUACCGAACACAAACUUGUGGAAGCUCUUUGAUACAACUCUUUUGUCUACUCUUCCUCUCUUACUCCUAGUAUACACAUGAAAAUGAAACCAAGGAAAUGCUGCGGCACUUACCAGCAGAUAUGAGGGAAAUGUUGGCUGUGGGGCUCUCAGCCCCAUCUACCAGCAGUUUCACCUGUCCAUUCACAGGAUGCAUAUCAAUUUCACUGUUAAGAAGAAGAGAGUUCUUAUCUUGUUUGUAUCAUGUUUACACACAUAUAGUGACUAAGUGAUUUUCUUGCUCACUAAAAUAUCACUGGUCACAACAUAAGCACAUUCCAACUGUUUACAUUAC